GGGCACUUAGCUCAGUUGGUAGAGCAUCUCGUUUACACCGAGGCGGUCGGAAGUUCAAGUCUUUCAGUGCCCACCA
rnacentral:tRNA from 1 species